GACGAACGCUGGCGGCGUGCUUAACACAUGCAAGUCGAACGGUGAAGCGCCUUCCUUUUUGGUGGGUGUGGAUGAGUGGCGAACGGGUGAGUAACACGUGAGUAACCUGCCCCCUUCUUCUGGAUAACCGCAUGAAAGUGUGGCUAAUACGGGAUAUUCUGGGUCUGUCGCAUGAUGGGUCUGGGAAAGAUAUUGUUUCGGUGGGGGAUGGGCUCGCGGCCUAUCAGCUUGUUGGUGGGGUGAUGGCCUACCAAGGCGGUGACGGGUAGCCGGCCUGAGGGGGUGGACGGUCACACUGGGACUGAGACACGGCCCAGACUCCUACGGGAGGCAGCAGUGGGGAAUAUUGCACAAUGGGCGCAAGCCUGAUGCAGCGACGCCGCGUGAGGGAUGGAGGCCUGCGGGUUGUGAACCUCUUUCGCCAGUGAAGCAGGCCUGCCUCGUUUGUGGGUGGGUUGACGGUAGCUGGAUAAGAAGCGCCGGCUAACUACGUG
rnacentral:rRNA from 1 species